rnacentral:rRNA from 1 species
GACGAACGCUGGCGGCGUGCUUAACACAUGCAAGUCGAACGCUGAAGCUCAGCUUGCUGGGUGGAUGAGUGGCGAACGGGUGAGUAACACGUGAGUAACCUGCCCUCUUCUUUGGGAUAACGCCCGGAAACGGGUGCUAAUACUGGAUAUUCACUGAUUCUCGCAUGGGGGUUGGUGGAAAGGUUUUUUCUGGUGGGGGAUGGGCUCGCGGCCUAUCAGCUUGUUGGUGGGGUGAUGGCCUACCAAGGCUUUGACGGGUAGCCGGCCUGAGAGGGUGACCGGUCACAUUGGGACUGAGAUACGGCCCAGACUCCUACGGGAGGCAGCAGUGGGGAAUAUUGCACAAUGGGCGAAAGCCUGAUGCAGCGACGCCGCGUGAGGGAUGGAGGCCUGCGGGUUGGAAACCUCUUUCGCUCAUGGUCAAGCCGCAGCUUUGGGUUGUGGUGAGGGUAGUGGGUAAAGAAGCGCCGGCUAACUACGUG